rnacentral:tRNA from 1 species
GGAAGGGAAACGUCCCCGGUGGGACGGCCGGACUUCAAACCCGGUGAGGGCUGUGAUCCAGUCCUCCGUGCGUUCGACUCGCACUCUCUUCCGCCA